rnacentral:rRNA from 1 species
UACGAAGGGGGCUAGCGUUGCUCGGAAUCACUGGGCGUAAAGCGCACGUAGGCGGAUUGUUAAGUCAGGGGUGAAAUCCUGGAGCUCAACUCCAGAACUGCCUUUGAUACUGAAGAUCUUGAGUUCGGGAGAGGUGAGUGGAACUGCGAGUGUAGAGGUGAAAUUCGUAGAUAUUCGCAAGAACACCAGUGGCGAAGGCGGCUCACUGGCCCGAUACUGACGCUGAGGCACGAAAGCGUGGGGAG